CAGGUUUUUCUUUGCCAGCUGGUCCCAGGAGGAAGGUGGGGUCUGACAGCAGAGGUACAGCUGUAGGGGAAAAAGGCCCACAAAGGCAUUUAGGAGUGCUUGUGCUGCUCGUCUGAGCAGCAAGAGGUCUGCUGUGGGGUGCACGAUGCUGUAGCUGUCUGAGCAGCUACAAGGUCCUGUGCAGAGCCAGACUUCUGCAGGCACAAGUCAUUUUGCUUCUUGUAACACCACCUCUUGUGUUGUGAGGAUGUUUGCCCUUUGUCACUGCCACUCCUGUAAUGUUUUGAUCCCUAAAUAUGCUGGUGGUGGACGUAGAGGUUCCUCCGCUUCCACUUGCACAGUGCUGCACACAGAAAAGAUAUACCAGAUCUCUGAAGCCUGGAACCCCAGUAGUGCUCAUCUGUGCUGUGGCAGUUUCCCAAACACUAGUACACGACUGCAGUAUUAUACUAGCGAUCACCUGCAGUGUUUCAUGUACCUAAUCCUUUGGACACCCUGAGGCAUGUAGGUGGAAGAAAUACAAAGGAGAUGAGCAUUCAUGGCUUCCAUGCUAUGGAGGAUGGGGCUUUGGCAACGUUGCAUCCUUUUUCUAUUUACUAUUAACCUGUAGAGUCUAGAGCUGAAUCUUUUGUGUUUAUCAUUUUCUGAAGAGUAAGAAGUGACUUGUAAAAAAUUAACUUGGAAAUUGCUGUCAGGGAGAAGAAAUACUGAAGUUUCAACUUGAAGAACUGCAGUGAGAGCAAAACUAUUUUCUUACUUAGUUUUGGGCAGUUAAAUCAUGGUUUGAAAAGAAAUAUAAAUGUACCUUAGUAAGCUUAGAAAUAAUAUCAACAGUAGAGAUGUGGGAAAAAGGAACCUAUGUAAAAAAUGCUUAAGUAUUGGCUAAGGUUAACAAUGCUGCUAUUUGUAUGACAAUGUUUAGUUUCCACUAAAAACUGUAAAGCAUAAUUUGCCUUAAAAGCAUUUUCUAUGAAGAGUUAAAUUACUUUAGCUGUGAUUAUAAUUUCAUCCUGUUAAAUUAGGUCAGGUUCAGUGCAAGACAAAAAUUAAUCUUGUUUAUGUUAAAUGAUGGUGGUUGCAGAAAUUACUAGCGCUUUUUACCUGGAGUCAACUUCAUGCACCAGUUCAGGAAAG
rnacentral:lncRNA from 1 species